AUGCUGGGCGGCCGGCAGUUAGCGGCACACAGCGGCUGUCCUGUGAGCGGCAGCGGCAGGAGCAGCAGGCUGGGCACGGGGGGGCGGCUGGCCGGGGCUGGAAGCCAAGAGGCCGGUAGGCCCGGGGCGGCCAUGUGGAGCGGCCACAGCUCCUUCACCAAGCUGGUGGUGGGCGUGUUCGUGGUCUCCGUGGUGCACGCCUGCUGGGUCUUGUACGGCAUCGUCUACACCCGCCCGUGCUCCGGCAACGCCAACUGCAUCCAGUCCUACCUGGCGCGGCGGCACAAGCUGCAGCUGAGCAUGUACACCACAACGCGGUCCCACCUGGGUGCCGAGAACAACAUCGACCUGGUCUUGAAUGUGGAAGACUUCGAUGUGGAGUCCAAAUUUGAGAGGACAGUUAAUGUUUCUGUACCAAAGAAAACAAGAAAUAACGGGACGCUGUAUGCCUACAUCUUCCUCCAUCACGCUGGGAUCCUGCCAUGGCACGAUGGGAAGCAGGUGCACCUCGUCAUUCCUCUGACCACCUACAUGGUCCCCAAGCUGAAAGAAAUCAACCUGCUCACUGGGGAAUCUGAUGCACAGCAGAUCAAGGUGGAGAAGAAGCCAGCGACGAGUACCCUGGAUGAACUGGUGUCCCACUGGAGACCACGGCUAGCACUGAAGCUGAUGGCAGACAACUUCGUCUUCGACGGGUCCUCCCUGCCUGCUGACGUGCAUCGGUACAUGAAGAUGAUCCAGCUCGGGAAGACCGUGCAUUACCUCCCCAUCCUAUUUAUCAACCAGCUCUGCAACCACGUCAAGGACCUGAUGGUCAUAAACCGCUCCACCACCGAGCUGCCUCUCACGGUGUCCUACGAUAAGGUCUCGCUGGGGCGACUGCACUUCUGGAUCCACAUGCAGGACUCCAUAUACUGCCUGCAGCAGUUCGGGUUUUCAGAGAAAGAUGCCGGUGAAGUGAAAUAAAUUAUUGUAGAUACCAAUUUGUACUUCCUGGCGCUGACCUUCUUUGUCGCAGCAUUGCAUCUUCUCUUUGAUUUCCUGGCCUUUAAAAAUGACAUCAAUUUCUGGAAGAAAAAGAAGAGCAUGAUUGGCAUGUCCACCAACGCAGUGCUCUGACGCUGCUUCAGCACCGUGGUCAUUUUCCUGUUCCUGCUGGAUGAGCAGACGAGCCAGCUGGUGCUGGUGCCGGCCGGCAACAGAGCCACCAUCGAGCUGUGUAAAGUGAAAAGGGCAUUGAAGAUGACUGUUGUUUGAAGAGGCCUGAGGCCCGAGUUUCAGUUUGCCACUUACAGUGAGUCUGAGAGGAAGACCAAGGAGUACGAUACUCAGGCCAUGAAAUACUUGUCCUACCUGCUGUACCCUCUCUGCAUCGGGGGUGCUGUGUAUUCACUCCUGAACAUCAAGUAUAAGCUGGUACUCCUAGUUAAUCAACAGUUUUGUCAACGCCCGGCCCUCCACGCCUGUGAGUGCGGGCUGUCUUUCUGCAGGGGUCUAUGCCUUUGGUUUCCUCUCCAUGCUGCCCCAGCUCUUUGUGAACUACAAGUUGAAGUCGGUGGCACAUCUGCCAUGGAAGGCCUUAACCUACAAAGCUUUCAACACCUUCAGUGAUGACAUGUUUGCCUUCAUCAUCACCAUGCCCACGUCUUACCGGCUGGCCUGCUUCCGGGACAACAUGAUGUUUCUGGUCUACCUGUACCAGCGGUGGCCUUAUCCUAUGGACAAACGCAGAGUCAAUGAGUUCGGGGAGUCCUAUGAGGAGGCCACGCGGACACCCCACGCGGACUGAAGGCCACCCACCCUUGGGGCAAGUGCACCUUGAAUUGUCAGUGUUUUUGGAAGCAUCUGGCGGAAUUCGUAGACAUUGCAUCUUCUGUGUUGCCAAAAUCCCUUUGGACGUUGCUCAGACCCCUCCCAAGUUCCCUUCACGUCAUCAGAUUUGGAGCUGGAUCCCCCACACCCCGCCAGGUGUGAACAGACAUCUGUCUCGGUCACUGAGCUGGGCGCUGCCAGUCACCCUGAGCUAUGGUGGCUCCCGGCAUGUGAGUGUCCAGUGGGGGUCAGCCGUGUCCUCACGCUGGCAGGCAUGGGAGCCCUCACAGGCAGGGGGGCUGUCGGAUUUCCAUUUCGGGUGGUUUUUAAGUGCUCCUUAUGUGACUUUCAGACACGUAUAAAAUUCAUUCCAUGUGGACUCCGGGAUCAAAGGCUCUUUCCUCUUUUGUUUGAGAGUUGAUUGUUUUAAAGCUUAAUGUAUCUAUGUUUCUAUAAAUUUUUCUGGCUGUGGCAAAAAAAAAAAAGAAAGGGGGGGCGGUUAGCGCUUCUGGGGUCAAAGGGUGCAUGGGGUUGAAAGCAGGCUGCUCCGCCCCGUCCCCCUCCCAGACCAGCAGAGGCAGCUGCCGGAGCAGCCGCAGCCUGCGCCCUCUCCCGCCCGCCCUCCACCCACCCCGGGGUCUCUUUCCCCCUUCCUCCUCCGCCCACCCGCGGGGCACCCCUCGCCUUCCCGCCCGCCCCUAUUGUUCCACCCCUGGCCUCCCACCCUUCCCCUUCCCACCCCCGCUCCCCUUUUCCCCUCAGUCACCUCCCGCCUGCAGUUUUUGGCUUUCACCCCACACCAGUGACCAAAGACUUGACCACUCCCCAGAGUCCAGCUCCACAGAACACUGCUCGACAUGGACACCGGUGUGAUUGAAGGUGGAUUAAAUGUCACUCUCACCAUCCUGCUACUUAUGCAUGGAAAGGAAGUUGGCAGUAUCAUUGGAAAGAAAGGAGAAUCAGUUAAGAAGAUGCACAGAGAGAGUGGUGCACGUAACAACAUCUCAGAAAAGAAUUGUCCUGAGAGAAUUAUCACUUUGGCUGGACCAACUAAUGCCAUCUUGAAAGCCUUUGCUAUGAUCAUUGACAAACAGGAAGAGGACAUAAGCAGCUCUAUGACCAAUAGCACAGCUGCCAAUAGACCCCCGGUCACCCUGAGGCUGGUGGUUCCUGCUAGUCAGUGUGGCUCUCUCAUUGGAAAAGGUGGUUGCAAGAUCAAAGAAAUACGAGAGAGUACAGGGGCUCAGGUCCAGGUGGCAGGGGAUAUGUUACCCAACUCAACUGAGCGGGCCAUCACUAUUGCUGGCAUUCUGCAAUCCAUCAUUGAGUGUGUCAAACAGAUCUGCGUGGUCAUGUUGGAGGUCCCCCCUCGAAGGGCGUAACCAUCCCGCACCGGCCCAAGCCGUCCAGCUCUCCGGUCAUCUUUGCAGGUGGUCAGGACAGGUACAGCACAGGCAGCGACAGUGUGAGCUUUCCCCACACCACCCCGUCCAUGUGCCUCAACCCUGACCUGGAGGGACCACCUCUAGAGGCCUAUACCAUUCAAGGACAGUAUGCCAUUCCACAGCCAGAUUUGACCAAGCUGCACCAGUUGGCAAUGCAACAGUCUCAUUUUCCCAUGACGCAUGGCAACACGAGAUUCAGUGGCAUUGAAUCCAGCUCUCCAGAGUUGAAAGGCUAUUGGGCAGGUUUGGAUGCAUCUGCUCAGACUACUUCUCAUGAACUCACCAUUCCAAACGAUUUGAUUGGCUGCAGAAUCGGGCAUCAGGGCACCAAAAUCAAUGAGAUCCAUCAGAUGUCUGGGACGCAGAUCAAAACUGCGAACCCAGUGGAAGGAUCUACUGAUAGGCAGGUUACCAUCACUGGAUCUGCUGCCAGCAUUAGCCUGGCUCAAUAUCUAAUCAAUGUCAGGCUUUCCUCAGAGACAGGUGGCAUGGGGAGCAGCUAGAACAAUGCAGAUUCAGAUUCAUCCAUAAUCCCUUUCUGCUCUUCACCACCACCCAUGAUCCAUCUGUGUAGUUUCUGAACAGUCAGCAAUUCCAGGUUUUAAAUAGUUUGUAAAUUUUCAGUUUCAACACACUUUAUCAUCCACUCGUGAUUUUUUAAUUAAAGCAUUUUAAUUCCUUUCUCUGUUCA